rnacentral:tRNA from 1 species
GAGGGUAUAGCACAAGCGGCAGAGAGCAUGCUUAGCAUGCACAAGGUCCUGGGUUCAAUCCCCAGUACCUCCU